rnacentral:rRNA from 1 species
AUGCUUGCUAAGGUGGACCGUUACCUGGCUGGGUGGCGGGCGCGGCUGCUCUCGCCGGUUGGUAGGAUGGUGUUGAUCAAUGUCAUCAUCGACUCCAUCCCAUCGUACGCCAUGGCGGCCAUGCGCCUUCCGCAGGCGGUUCUGGAUCGCCUGGACGCGCUGCGCUGGGCGUUUCUCUGGAACGUGGCGGACCGUGCCUCGGGUGCUCAGUGCCUGGUCGCCUGUGAGCGUGUCUGCCGCUCCAAGGCCGAGGGAGGCCUCGGCGUCCGGUCUCUCCAGGAUCAGAACGACUGCCUCCUGCUCAAGCUCCUUCACAGGCUGCAUUCCCCGACGCCUUCUCGGUGGGCCUGUUGGGUCUGGGGCCUGAUGGGAGGAGGAUCUCUCCUGGCCCCUGGAAGUCCCCCCCUCCCGGGCGAGCACUGGCGGUCCCUCCUCGACUUGUUGCCGGCCUACCGGGCCCUUAUGAGGGUCGUGGUGGGGGACGGCCGAAGGACGUCGUUCUGGCAUGAUCGGUGGCUCCCAUGCGGGGCACUCGUCGUGGCCUUCCCCGCCUUAUUCUCGCAUGCGCUUCGCCGGGAGGUGUCGGUCUGGGAGGCCCGCCACAGCAGCGUCCGUGCCCUUCUCAUUCCCCGACUCAUCCCCUUGGCAGUGCGUGAGUGCGCCGCCGUUCAGUGUCUCAUGGAGGGGGUGGCGCCCCUGGAUGGACCUGAUUCCAGGGUGGCUGUCCUUUUCUCGGGACCAAAGGGGAAACUCUCGUCGCGGGGGGUUUACACCCUUGUCCGCUUCGGGGGGGCCACGUGGUCACCGGCGCCCUUCCUUUGGUCGUCCCGGGCUCCAUCGCGUGUUGUGUUCUUCGGUUGGCUGCUGGCCCUGGCUCACAUUAAUACGAGGGAUGUGCUCCUGCGGAAAACCAUCCUGACGGUGGCGGAGGCUGGGUGUCCCUGCUGCUCGGCCGCGCUAGAGACUGCAAACCAGCUCAUCUUCGGCUGGUUUGGUGCAUUCAGCUUAGUCAGGAACAUUCUUCAGGAUAGAGCUACUGGAAGCAAGUAA